rnacentral:rRNA from 1 species
AGAAAAGCUUCUAAGCUUCAGGUAACCAGGAACCGUACCCCAAACCGACACAGGUGGUCGGGUAGAGAAUACCAAGGCGCUUGAGAGAACUCGGGUGAAGGAACUAGGCAAAAUGGCACCGUAACUUCGGGAGAAGGUGCGCCGGCUAGGGUGAAGGAUUUACUCCGUAAGCUCUGGCUGGUCGAAGAUACCAGGCCGCUGCGACUGUUUAUUAAAAACACAGCACUCUGCAAACACGAAAGUGGACGUAUAGGGUGUGACGCCUGCCCGGUGCCGGAAGGUUAAUUGAUGGGGUUAGCGCAAGCGAAGCUCUUGAUCGAAGCCCCGGUAAACGGCGGCCGUAACUAUAACGGUCCUAAGGUAGCGAAAUUCCUUGUCGGGUAAGUUCCGACCUGCACGAAUGGCGUAACGAUGGCGGCGCUGUCUCCACCCGAGACUCAGUGAAAUUGAAAUCGCUGUGAAGAUGCAGUGUAUCCGCGGCUAGACGGAAAGACCCCGUGAACCUUUACUGUAGCUUUGCACUGGACUUUGAGCCUGCUUGUGUAGGAUAGGUGGGAGGCUUUGAAGCGUGGACGCCAGUUCGCGUGGAGCCAUCCUUGAAAUACCACCCUGGCAUGCUUGAGGUUCUAACUCUGGUCCGUAAUCCGGAUCGAGGACAGUGUAUGGUGGGCAGUUUGACUGGGGCGGUCUCCUCCUAAAGAGUAACGGAGGAGUACGAAGGUGCGCUCAGACCGGUCGGAAAUCGGUCGUAGAGUAUAAAGGCAAAAGCGCGCUUGACUGCGAGACAGACACGUCGAGCAGGUACGAAAGUAGGUCUUAGUGAUCCGGUGGUUCUGUAUGGAAGGGCCAUCGCUCAACGGAUAAAAGGUACUCCGGGGAUAACAGGCUGAUACCGCCCAAGAGUUCAUAUCGACGGCGGUGUUUGGCACCUCGAUGUCGGCUCAUCACAUCCUGGGGCUGAAGCCGGUCCCAAGGGUAUGGCUGUUCGCCAUUUAAAGUGGUACGCGAGCUGGGUUUAGAACGUCGUGAGACAGUUCGGUCCCUAUCUGCCGUGGACGUUUGAGAUUUGAGAGGGGCUGCUCCUAGUACGAGAGGACCGGAGUGGACGAACCUCUGGUGUUCCGGUUGUCACGCCAGUGGCAUUGCCGGGUAGCUAUGUUCGGAAAAGAUAACCGCUGAAAGCAUCUAAGCGGGAAACUUGCCUCAAGAUGAGAUCUCACUGGGAACUUGAUUCCCCUGAAGGGCCGUCGAAGACUACGACGUUGAUAGGCUGGGUGUGUAAGCGUUGUGAGGCGUUGAGCUAACCAGUACUAAUUGCCCGUGAGGCUUGACCAU